CCUCCCCUGCUCGCUGCCCUGCCGUCUCUUCUCAUUGUUCUGGGUCUUGGCCACACAGACCUUCCAAAAUAACUGCACAGUUGUCAUCAUUGUUUGGGAGGCUGUUUUGGAACAUUGGCUUAGCUGGUGAUGCGAGGGGAUCCAGGAAGGGCCCAGCUGUCGGGAGGCCCGGGGACUCGGGGAGCUGGGGGCGGAGAGGCGGUCACAGCGCCUGGGCGCAGGAGCUUCGGGGUGGGGGGAGUGCCCAGAGGUAGCAUGGUUUUGGCAAGUGUUGAGUCUUGGGGAGGGGAAUUGGGAAAGAGGGAGGAGAAAGGAUGAGAGGUGGGUGUAGGUUGGAGGGAAGCUAUUAUUGAAGCUGGAGGAAGAUACCAAGAGGACAGUGGUUCGCAGAGGAAGGGAGGGAAGAGCCGGUGGGUGCCGAGGGCCCCAUUGGUGUUUUGGCAUGUUGUUUAGAGAGUAAUUUCUGUGGCCUGGAGAACUCGUCCAUGGGCUGAUAGAAAAGUAAGUGGAGCAGAGGGACUUGAGGACUAACGGGCAGCUUGGUGUCGAGUCAGGGGACACCCUGACGUCCUCAGCUCUGUGGCUGGGGGUCAGACAGCUCCCCAGCCUCCAGCUUUGCAGAGACGGGGAGAGGGUGGACACAUCUCAAUAGGUGUUAGGAUGGAGCAGAGGGGCAGGUGAGUGUGAAAGGGGCAAAGGUGAAAUUCUCCUUUCUGUUUAAGUGGUCUCUUGAUUUCACAGGCUAGUAGAAACAGCCUAUCAUGAGUUAAAAACUCUGUUUCGCUGGUUCUUGCACGCCGUGAUCUCACCGAGUCUCUGGCCCCCCCCCAAGCCUGCUUCAAGCAUCUGGGGUCCCGUGACAUGUGAUUUAUAAUAAGAAAUAUGUAUUUGGUCUUUCUCGCCUUGUCUGGCACAGAGCUCCGAAAACUUGGAAUUUCCCAUGACCAGAGUGAGGGUGUCUUCUGUUAAUGACGUGACUUUUGGACAGCUCCUAGGUCACCUGGGGGGGUGGGGGCUGGUUGCCAGGGGACCCACCCACGUGCUUAGAAGGUUGGCACUUUCAGUCCCACCCCCACCCCAGGGAGGGCAGAGAGGCUAGAGGUGGAGAUCAGUCGCCAGUGGUGCGUGAGGUGAUCCACCGUGCCUCUGUCAUGAAGCCUCCACCCAAACCUAGAAAGGAUGGGGUCGGAGGUGCCCGAGAGCAUGGGGAGCGUGCCCCCUUCCCACAUGCCUUGCCUUUGCCUCUCCUCCACCCGGCUGUCCCUGAGUUACAUGCAUUUACAGUAAACCAGUGAUUAGUAAGUAAAAUGUUUCUCUGAGUUCUGUGAGCCAUUCUGUGGUAUAAACACUUUCACCACAGAGCAUUCCAAGCAAGUAAGGUGAUCGUGGGCUGGCUUGUAGACUUCCUCAAAAGUUCACAGUGAGUACUCUUGGGGGUUCCAGCUGGCUGCAGCGCAUCCCUGCCUGUGUACACCUGUGUGUCCAUCACCCAUAUCAAGACUUAGAACAUUUGCGUCAUUCCAGCAGCUAGUUACCUGGUGCCCCCUUGCAGUCAGUCCUCACCCCCUGUCCUGAGUAAACUUCUGUUCUGAUUUCUAUCACCACUGAUUAGAUUUUCAUAUUCUAGAACUUCAUAAAAAUACUGUGUGUAUAUACAUAUAUAUAUAUAUAUAUAUAUAUAUGUUAUUUUUUUGGUCUGGAUUUUUUGGGGCGGCUGAGAUUUGAGAUUCACCCAUAUUGCUGUGUUUAUCUGGUGGUUUGUCUUUUCUAUUGUGUGACUGUAUUUGUAGGUAUGUUGUAUGGAUUGACUACAAUCUUUCCCUCUGUUGAUGGACAUUUGGGUUGUUUCCAGUGUUGGGGUUUUCUGAGUAAUUUUGAAAGUACUUGAAAGAGUAUGAAAGCAGGAGGUUCUAAUAUUCUUGGCAAAGACUUUCUGGUGGAAAGAAGGGUUGAGUCUUAAAAAAUUUUUUUUAUUGAAGUUUAGUUGACCUACAGUGAGAAGGGAGGGGCCUUGAUGCUUUAGAUUUUACUGCUGAAAAUAAAGGAGUUUCUCGGAAAGUGUUGAGCACGUGGCUGGUAUUCAGUAAAUGUUAGUGGAAUCUCAAUUUGGUGAAAUUCUGUUUCUAGGCCCAGUGACCAGAAAUAAAUUAUUUCUUUGAGCAGGGUCAGAAUGAACCUUUCUAGAGAAAGGACAAUCUGGACUAUUAAAACAAAAACCCUCAGAGAUUCUGUCGUCUCAUUUGAUACAGCCACUUUGGGAAUAUUUCACAAUUUUAACAGUUAGGGGAAAUUUUCUAUGUUAAAAUUUUAUAUUAUACAUCUAAAAUCUAGUUAUUAUACAUAUGAAGUGGUUUACUUUAUACACAUUUUCUUUUUAAUUUAUAUACAUUAUCUCAUUUAAAUUGUACUGUAAUGUUGCAAGGUCAACCCCUCCCCCCUUUAAAGAUAAGGAAGACUGAAGCUCAGAGAUGUUAAGUGACUUUCCCAAGUUCACGAAGCCAGUGGGAAUUUGACCUCAGUUGUCUGACUCCAAAAUUCUUGCCUUUUUUCACUGCAAGGUGUUGGCUCCGCUCACAUCUCCGGACAGAUGGGCAGCACUUAUUACUGAAAUAAUUGCUGCCCAGUUUCCUUGGUUCCCUUUGAACGGUCUUCUCAACCAGACCAUAAGUCUUUUGAUUGCAGAACCUGUGUAUCCUGUGCACCAGUGGCUUCUAAAGUGGGAGAGCAAGGUGAUCCGUUGCGGUGUAAGAAGAAAACAUUAGAACCUCUGCUUAUUUUUAAUCUUACCUCUUCUGAUUUCUGCUUUUCUGUAUGUUCUAUAAUGCUCCUUUCAUUAUCAGAAUAGGUAAUAUUAUUUAAAUAAACCUACCUAUUAUAUAUUAUAUAUUAUAUAGGUAGGUUUACUUAGGGAUGCCUGUUGAAAACUUACUGACAAAGAUACGUGAUUUCAAAAGUUAGGAACACCCUGCCUAACUGAACUUCUCUGCUUUGUUGUUGCGGGCACUGAGCAUUCUGCUGGGCGUUGGAGGUUCACCCCAAAUCCGUGUGGUUCCGUCUCUCCAGGAGGGAGCUUACAGCGUACACUUGCACAUGGUUGGUGCUUCGUUGUGAAUGGAGGAGCUGAGCUUGUGUCUGGGUUCUUUACUCCAAGCCAGUAACUAUGCGACGAGCUUGUUUUUAAAAAGAAGGGUCUCUCAAUGAAUAUUUGAAAAGAACCUCCUCACGCCCUUGGCCGACGUUCCUGGGACUCCUGGCUUCCAGGGCGAGUUCCUCGCAGGGAUGCGUGAGCUGGUGUGAGGUGUCAGGGAGAGCGUCUAGGUGGAGAGGCAUUCUUGGCAGGACGGGCAGGCGAAGCUCAGGGGUCGUACAGCAGUUCCACUCCUGUUACUUAGAUUUUGUUCGACUGGGUCUCAGGGAGAUGCUGGUGAUCACGGGGUAGAGGUGGGUGUACAGCUAGCCCAAGCCACUUCAUAGUGCUGCCUCAGGGUAUCCUGAGCAAGUGAAGUAAAGACUGGGCAGGGGAGGCGAGAUGAGAAUGCAGCAGGAGAGCCAGGGUCCCAGCAGCUCUGCUGAGGACCCUGCAGUGGGCAGAGGAUCAGACCCAAAGAGAGAAUGUGUCUCGUAGCAACUGCCAGACUGCACCCAUCUCUCAACAGCUGUCAACCAUUUAUUAGUGGGACUCUGCUGAAGCCAAGGGGAGGCGGAGGGAGAGCAGACAAAUGGAGGAAAUAAAAUUGUGUUAAUUACCAGUCCAUUUCCAUGAUGCAGAGGUGACCCGGUCUGUCAUCUCCCGCCCCGGGGCUGGGGUUUUGUUGAGUCUGACAUUUGUGGGCCAGCGCUCCCAGCCGGGCAUCUGUUGGCCCCGUUGCCAUGGAGACAGCAGCUGCAGCAGCGUCUCCUUUGAGAAUGUGCCGCCCAAGAUUUCGGGAACCAUUUUGGAAGCAUUUGUCCCGACAGUGCGGGCUAAUCUCCCUUUCAUUUGUAAUUAUUUUAUCGCCUUGAUUCUCUGCUUUGGCAUCGUUCCCAAAGCUAACUCUGCUCCCCGACACUGGGGUCCGUGGGGAGGUGUCAGCGCCCCGGCCCCGUCUGGGUGGAGAUGAAAGGGCCGUGGAAGGCAGAGCCGUCCGGGGAGCACUGCGGUCUUCAAACAGGCCCUGUCUCCUGUCCGCAGCCCUGGGAGGGCCCGAGCCGAUUGAAGUGGCCCGAAUUAUGAAGCCCAAAGCCUUUGAGGCAAGCCGCCCCAUCCAGGCCAAGAAUAAUUGAACAAAUAGUUUAUCUGGCUAACCAACAGCUGUAGAGCCCGGGCGAUUUGGAGAGGAUUAGGGGAGAGCCGUGAGAGGAUACUCCCACAGGGCCCUUCAAAUCCUCAUCCUGAAUUCUACCAGCGAAGAACACAUGUUGAAACCCUGAAACUGCUUUUUAAGUCCAUUUCUCUCCUUUUCCAAGUGACUCUGUUCAGUGCUUCCAAGAAUUUUAACUGGCUAAGGCAACCAGCUUUGGGGUCCCUGCUGUUGGGUUCCUUCAGUUGCCCCCUUCAAUCCCCCCAAACUUUGUUUCAUCCCAGACAGCUCGGAUUCAUGUGGAAACUCUGAUCCCUCUGGGAGGUGCCUGAGGGCGGCUGCCUUGUCCCCAAGUCUGCAUUGCUGGCAGCUGCUGUAAUGUCUAAAGGUAGUGCCAGGGCCAAGUUCAGGUUGGGAGAGAAAAGGAGUCCAGGGGGGCUGAAUGGAGAGAGAGGACACAAGGAAUCCUCUUCCCUGUGCAAGAAGAAAUUGAAAAAAAAAAAGGCUCCAAACGGACCAAAGAUUUAAAUGUUUAAAAAAAAAUCCAUGUAAGUACAAAUGAGACCUUGGGAGGACGUGCGUUAAAACCUUUAUAACCCUGAGGUGACGAAUAUGUUUCUAACUCUGAUUCAAAAUCCAGAAAUCAUAAAACCAUAGAAAUCAUAGAAGACCGAUAAAUUUAACAAUAUGAAAAAGUCUGCGUGGCAAAACAUCACAGGCGAGUAGGAUAAACUAGGAAAAGCAUUUGCAGCUCACUUCACAGAUACCCAUCAGCAAAAGACCAGAAACCCCAAAGGGCGUUGGGCAAAGGCUGUGGGCAGACAGUUCACAGGGUGGAAAAAAGAAAUGGCCCCAAUUACGUAACAACGGUGUUCAACCUCACUCGCGUGACAGGAGCAACGCAAAUUAGAACUAUGCUGAAAUACUAUUUUUAACCUAUCAGAUUGGAAAAAGUCCAAAAAUUUGACAAUGUGCUGUGUUGGUGUACCUGUGAGGAAACCAAACUUUCCUUCCAUUAAUGCUGGCAGGUAGAAUGGGGAGUCAUUUGGCAAUAUCUGUCAAAGUUAUACGUGCACUUAAUCUUUGAGCCAACAAUAACUCUCUUGGGGACUGACCUAAUAGAAUUGCACGUGUCCAUGAUGACCUGCAAGAUUUGUUAACUGACACUGGUUUUUACUAGUAAACAACUGAGGGGGGAUGGUUAAAAAUAAAUUCAUCAAGAGGCAAGUAUUUAAAUAAAUCAUGGUACCUCCCCACAGGGGAAUACUAUGUAGCCAUAAAAAAGAAUGAGGCUGCUAUCUAGGAACUGAUUUCCCAGGAAUAUUAAGUGAAAAAAGUCCAGAUGCAAUGGGGUGUAUACAAUAUGCUACCUUUCCUAUAAAUAAGAGUGAAAAUAAGAAGACUGCUGCAUUUGUGUCACUUUACAGAGACUCUGGGGAAGGUAGAAGAGGCUGGUGAAAUGGCUUAGCUGUGGAGUGGGGAGGAGGUAACUGGGGUGGGAGUGAGACCGCAUGUGUACCUGUUUGUGUGAGUUGAUUUGGGGCUAAUGGAACACCGAUUCUGAAAAAUAAAACCACUUCAUGCAAGAGACAAAAA